UCCUUGCAACACUUGAAAAAGAGACACAGGACAAAAGAAGAAUGCACGUUCCGUAUGCACAAUUCUUUGCAGCCCUCUGACGAAGUACCUCAAAAGCUAAGCUCCCAUCAAUCCUGGCGAGAUAGGAUCGGCAGAGCACAGUGCUGAAAUGAAUGGCUUAAAAGAACAGCAGAGACCAAAGAACUUUUUAUGCAGAGAAACCCCAAAUCUGGGGCAAAGCCCUCCUGUUCAUUUUAUCACACAAAAGGUGCACAUAAACUGUUGGAUGGCAAUUUACUUAUGCUGUGACAAGAGAGUUCCUCUUUCAAUUUUGUCACAUCAGAGAGAAAGGAAAGGCAACAUAGAUGUAUUUUCUAAGGAUUCAGCCAAGGAGGACCAUGUGGACGCUUCACUGUAUCCUGAUUUAACUUCACCCAGGCCUUUAAGAGACUGAAUCUGUAUCUAGGAGUUGCAUCAGUACAUCCAUCCGGUUACUGGAUACUCACCAAUUCAGCCUGGGCCACAGGCAUACUGGCUUGUCUGAGACGCGAGUUUCUUAUUGUACUGAAAGGUCAUAUUUUUAAAAAAUCAGAUAUUACAGACAUCCUGUUAGGAUUUACUAGAUUAGUCUUAAAAAAUGUAAAACAUCAGAUUGUGAUCGCAUGACUAUGAAGACAAAACAGGAAACAUACUUCCACGAACUUUCUGGCACCCGCGGCAUAUUCAGAGUUGAGGCAAGUCAUCCCUUUGGGCCUCUGUGAAGUUCAGAAGGGAGCUCAUUGCACAGA